GCAUAUCUGUGUUUCUCCAAAAAACUGUGGAUGGAAGCCCAAUAAGCGUUUUAAGGAAAUCAAUGAUGCAAGAUGUGUUCUCAUGUAUGAUGUAAGCAAAUGCAUCACAGCAAAUCCAAAACUGAACUUCACAGACCAUCUAAACUGCACCAUAAUACAUCCAGAAGAGAAACAGGGAGACUCACUUCAUGGGGAUGGAUGUGUUACUCCACCCAAUAAAGCAGAGAAAAUAGGACCAGCAUUUAUUGCAAGCAUUGCAA